GAACCAGGUGCACACAAAAUGCAAAGUAGACUGCCUUUUUCUUCAUUGCAGUGGUGGCUGACCAUCAUGGACAUGGAAAGACCAUUCAUCUUACUAAUACCAGAGGUGAGUGAUCAUGAAGUGUGGAGACUCCAGUGAAAAAGUUGGGACCCAAGCGUAUCAAUCAUCAUCAUGCCUGCAAAUGGAGAUCUCUCAUCACACACCACACCAGACAAGAUUCAUCUUCACCUGACCAUCAGAGUCCUGAUAGUGGAUUAGGAAGUGCUCACCAUCGUAGUCAUAAGAAGUGGGCAUCUUUACCGGCUUCAUGGAAACAGGAGAGCUGACACACCAAAAGGGUUUCU